rnacentral:rRNA from 1 species
AAUCAACGCUGGCGGCGUGCCUCAGACAUGCAAGUCGAACGAUUAAAGCUCUCUUCGGAGAGUGCAUAAAGUGGCGCACGGGUGAGUAACACGUAAGUAAUCUACCUUCGAGUGGGGAAUAACAUCGGGAAACCGAUGCUAAUACCGCAUAAUGCAGCGGCAUCGCAAGAUGACAGUUGUUAAAGAUUUAUCGCUUGAAGAGGAGCUUGCGGCAGAUUAGCUAGUUGGUAAGGUAAUGGCCUACCAAGGCGACGACGGGUAGCCGGCCUGAGAGGGCGACCGGCCACACUGGGACUGAGACACGGCCCAGACUCCUACGGGAGGCAGCAGUGGGGAAUCUUGCGCAAUGGGCGAAAGCCUGACGCAGCGACGCCGCGUGAGGGAUGACGGCCUC